rnacentral:rRNA from 1 species
GAAUUCGCCCUUAGAGUUUGAUCCUGGCUCAGGACGAACGCUGGCGGCGUGCUUAACACAUGCAAGUCGAACGAGAAUCUGCUGAAGGAGGAUUCGUCCAACGGAAGCAGAGGAAAGUGGCGGACGGGUGAGUAACGCGUGAGGAACCUGCCUUGAAGAGGGGGACAACAGUUGGAAACGACUGCUAAUACCGCAUGACGCAUAGAGGUCGCAUGAUCUUUAUGCCAAAGAUUUAUCGCUUCAAGAUGGCCUCGCGUCUGAUUAGCUGGUUGGCGGGGUAACGGCCCACCAAGGCGACGAUCAGUAGCCGGACUGAGAGGUUGAACGGCCACAUUGGGACUGAGAUACGGCCCAGACUCCUACGGGAGGCAGCAGUGGGGAAUAUUGGGCAAUGGGCGCAAGCCUGACCCAGCAACGCCGCGUGAAGGAAGAAGGCUUUCGGGUUGUAAACUUCUUUUAAGAGGGAAGAGCAGAAGACGGUACCUCUAGAAUAAGCCACGGCUAACUACGUGCCAGCAGCCGCGGUAAUACGUAGGUGGCAAGCGUUGUCCGGAUUUACUGGGUGUAAAGGGCGUGCAGCCGGGUCUGCAAGUCAGAUGUGAAAUCCAUGGGCUCAACCCAUGAACUGCAUUUGAAACUGUAGAUCUUGAGUGUCGGAGGGGCAAUCGGAAUUCCUAGUGUAGCGGUGAAAUGCGUAGAUAUUAGGAGGAACACCAGUGGCGAAGGCGGAUUGCUGGACGAUAACUGACGGUGAGGCGCGAAAGUGUGGGGAGCAAACAGGAUUAGAUACCCUGGUAGUCCACACUGUAAACGAUGAAU